GGGUCAUUUUAAAUUGUUUAAUCUGUCCAAUAAUAAACCUAGAAAAUAUUACAAAGUUUUAAGGAAGUGAUUUUAUUUUCAUAUUCCUGAAGCAAUGGAUCGAGAAAUCCCUCUCUUAGUUAGGUCUAAUCAAACCAAACACUGCAGGGCUUAUGUUUAAUAUUCUGUUAUCUUGGUCCUUCUGAUGGUCAGGGUUGUCCAGCUAACCUUCAUCUGAUGAUCAGGGUUGUCCAGCUAACCUUCAUCUGGUGGUCAGGGUUGUCCAGCUAACCUUGGUAAAGAUUGGGCAACAAUGGUUGAACAAAGGUCAACAACUCUUCUGUGGUAUUUUCAUUUUGAGUAUAAAAAUGUACCAAGUUUUAGCCCCAUCUUGAAAAUGUCAUAAAUUCUGAAACGGUCACACGUAUUCAAAUUUGACCUUUUCAUGCAUUCGGUCUUUAUGACUUAUGUAAUUGCUGAAAUUGUGGGCUAAAUCUAUUUGUUAAGGCCAGCUCAUUGUUUUGUCCAGGUCGCUGAGAUGUAAAUAUGGUUAGGGCAUGAGAUUGUUGGCGAGAUUGUAUGUUAGGGUUAGGGUAAGCAUUGGGGCUAUGCCAUGGGUUAGGGUUGGGAUUACAUCUCAUGACCACUGACGAAACAUUGAGCUGGAUUAUCAUUUAGCACAAACCGAAAUCUAGUCACAAUGUCACUCGGCAUACCUCAACCUCCGCAGACUCCAGUAACGUACAGCUUAGAGUGCCGGGAUCUGCUGAGGUCUUCCGAGUGGUCACAAUGCAUGUAGUCAUGGAGACGAUCUAUCAUUAAAAACUGGUUUAAAAAUGAAUAUUCAUAUGUAUAAAACUUCCCUGAUUAAUUCUUGUGGACUCCUUUUUUAUGGGCUUGGUUCAGCAGCAACAUUUGUACCAUAGUUCAUUGUAAAUCUGACUUGAAAAACUCGUUUUACUUGUGUUUACUACACCAGGAUCUGGAAGAGUUGUUAUAUUACCGACGUUCUGGUUAAAGUUAGGGAUUAUCCAAUGAAACAGUCUGUUACGGCGAGUUCUUGGCAUGCGAUGCUCGGAACUGUUGGUAAGGGUAAACCACUUGAACGCUGAUUGAUUAAUCAAUGUCUGACGUCAUAAGGCCAAAAGUCGCUCAUAUGACCUCUAACGCGACCUUCCACUACAACUGGUCAGAUCUUCAUGUACUUAAGGCCAUCGAAAGUAUAAAAACGAAACGAAAUAUCGAUCUGUAUUUUAAUCAGAUUGUAGAAAAUUGUGGGGGUUGGAUGGCUGAAUGGUUAGCGUGCGCGCGCUGUAUCAUAAAGUCUGUCAUUGAGUCAACUGACGUGGUUUCGAAUCCCUGGUUGUACGUGGCAAGGAGUAGGGUCGCCUGUCCAACCUCGUGGGUUUUCUCCGGGUCCUCCGGUUUCCUCCCACUGCUAAAGACCCCUACACGCAAGCGAAUUAUGUAAAUAAAAUUAACCCAUAUGUUGGUCCCGAAAUGACCUAGUUUGUGUCGAGUGGACGUUAAACUCCAUUUCUCUCUCUCUUGUAGAAAAUUGAUAUGUUAUAUGGAUUUAAUUUUGUGUAUAAUUUCAAAAAAAUUUUCAAUCUUAUUUCGUUGCGUAUAUCAAUCUCGCACUCGGCGAACCUCAGCAGAUUCCAGUACCCUACAUCUAUAUGUAGGGUACCGCAAUCUGCCGAGGUUUGUCGAGUGUCAAUCUCGUACUAUGCUCAAUGAACUAUUAGUUCCGUUUUUUUUACAAUCUCUUCAGGCUUAAAGGUCACCGGAAAAGUUUCGUAACGUAAUUAUGUCCUUUCCAUAACUAUAACACAAACCCGAAUGUCAGUAUUCAACGUUAGAAUUUCCGCCGUUCUCCGUUGGUAGUCGUACCUUUCCGUCAAUAAACAAUCCGUGACUUCAUUUUAGUCCUCCUGCUCAUAGCUAUAAAGUAGUGAUAGGUAUCAUAUAUAGGACAGGGUAUGCUUAUCAUUUCCAGAACACCUUAUAUCAUUUAUUUGGCUAUAAAGUAGUGAUAGUAUCAUAUAUAGGACAGGGUAUGCUUACUCUCUCUAGAACAUCUGAUAUCACUUGUUUAGCUAAAAGUAAUGUUGCUGAUAGUGUAUGAUAUGGGGUAAGCUUAGUGUUUCUGGAACACUUGAUUCCACUUCUUAAGAUAUAAUGCACAAGGGUAAGCUUACUAUCUAGAACUCCUCCUAUAAUAUGAUCCGCACGAGGUUUUAAAUAUAAUAUUUCCCAGUGUAAGAGUUAUCUGCCCACCCUCACACUGUCCCCUUUUCAACCUGACGUGUGGACAAAUUAUUCUCCUAUUCCAUCAUUGGAUGUGUUGAUGAAUUUAUUGUCAUUUCCUGAACUUCAAACAAACGCUCAGAGUUGUUCAUAAUGGCGUCCUUUCUAGGAUGAACGCCUUAGGUGGGUCACGUGAUUGGUAAACUCCUGGUUAUACCAUUGUUCGUUUCCGUGAUAAAUAUCUUUGUUGCUUUACAACAUCACGAUAUUUAAAUGUUAUCUGAAAUAUUCACAUAUUGGUAUAAAUGUAUCGUAUUAUAUUAUUAUUGUCAAUGAAAUUUAAAUUUUACUUAAGUAAAUAAAAAUUAUCUUCUA